AGGUGGAACGCAAGCACAGAUGUCCAGAGUGUGCUUCUGGGGCGCUGGGGAGACCUUGAAAGCCCCUUGAGAAGCCACUCUGGCUAUCAGUGGCCUUCGCGUAUGAAAGACCAUGGCAAACUAAGUGGAGGCCGAGAGAGGCUUUCAUGAUCCAUCGCAAUGAGCAUGUUGGAAUCUUGGUUUGUACCAAAACAAAACUAGUUGUUUUAAUUAGUUCUUCUUGCUUGGAAGUUAAGAUGGUCCUCCUCGAUGUUGAGUAAACCUGUUGAUGUGUGAAGCCUGGGGAUUACAGAUGGAAAGUGUUACGGAAGAAAUGGGAAAUAGCAUGAGCCCUCUGUGAGCUUCCUGAAGUGUGGCCACAAGUUCAUACCAUUUCUGGGAAGUUCAAAGCACUUCUCACAGUCCUUCCACGGUUACCAUGGAAACUCCCCAAUAGGAUGCAUAGCCAGAGGCAUCAUACAAACGAGGAACUGGGCAGACCUUUAUACGCCACUCCAGCAUCUCAUUGGCUCUCAAGUCGCCAGACAUGGCACGGUAUCUUUCUCAUGGAGUGGCUCCAUCGCCUCAUCCAGCAUCAGCGGCCUCUAGCCACACUGGCAGAUUCCAUGUUGGCUUGGGGAGGAAGUAUCAACUGCGCAUGCGCCAGCUUUGCAGCUGGUCCUGCUUGGCUACAAAGUUCCUCCUAUAUUCAGGAACCUACG
rnacentral:lncRNA from 1 species